rnacentral:rRNA from 1 species
GUACUCUGACCGUGCGAAGGUAGCAUAAUCACUUGUUCUUUAAAUGGGGACUUGUAUCAACGGCAUCACGAGGGCCAUACUGUCUCCUUUUUCCAAUCAGUGAAACUGAUCUUCCCGUGAAGAAGCGGGAAUUAACCUAUAAGACGAGAAGACCCCAUGGAGCUUUAAACCCAACAACAAGUCUAAUAAUACACCCUAAAAUUAAUGACACCUGCUGUUGGUUUUAGGUUGGGGUGACCGCGGAGUAUAAACUAACCUCCACGACGAACGGGACUAAACCCUUAUCUACGAGCCACCGCUCUAAGAAUCAGCACACUGACUUCUAAUGAUCCGAUAUUCGAUCAACGAACCAAGUUACCCUGGGGAUAACAGCGCUAUCCAUUUCAAGAGCUCCUAUCGACAAAUGGGUUUACGACCUCGAUGUUGGAUCAGGGUAUCCUAGUGGUGCAGCCGCUACUAAAGGUUUGUUUGUUCAACAAUUAAACCCUACGUGA